rnacentral:rRNA from 1 species
CCAAUAGCGUAUAUUAAAGUUGUUGCAGUUAAAAAGCUCGUAGUUGAAUUUCGGGAUCGACGGGUCGGUCGCGCCUCUGGUGUGUACUGGCCCUGUCGGUUUCUCCCUUCUGACGAACCACGAUGUCAUUAAUUUGGUUUCGUGGGAAAUCAGGACUGUUACUUUGAAAAAAUUAGAGUGUUUAAAGCAGGCAUUCGCUUGAAUACAUUAGCAUGGCAUAAUGAAAUAGGACGUUUGAUCUUAUUUUGUUGGUUUCUAAGAUCGACGUAAUGAUUAAUAGGGAUAGUUGGGGGCAUUAGUAUUCAAUUGUCAGAGGUGAAAUUCUUGGAUUUAUUGAAGACUAACUACUGCGAAAGCAUUUGCCAAGGAUGUUUUCAUUAAUCAAGAACGAAAGUUAGGGGAUCGAAGACGAUCAGAUACCGUCGUAGUCUUAACCAUAAACUAUGCCGACUAGGGAUCGGAUGAUGUUAAUUUUUUAAUGACUCAUUCGGCGCCUUACG